GCCUGGCUGGCUCAGUUGGUAGAGUAUGUAACUCUUGAUCUCAAGAUCAUGAGUUCAGGCCCCACGUUGGGCA
rfam:Felis catus isolate Cinnamon breed Abyssinian chromosome C2, whole genome shotgun sequence.